GAGGAGAGACCCGAGGCGGCCGCCGGUCUGAGUGUCAGGUGAACUGAACUUCAGGACAGUUAGCAUGCAGUCUGGAGCAGCCAGGGAUCGACCCAAAAACCAUCUGAUUAGUAGAUGACCUGCUCCACCUCCUGAGCCACAGCCGCCCCUUUUAGAGGUAAAGAAUCAAUUAGAAAGAGCUGGCGUCAUGUUGUGGAAGCUGCCAUCUUGCCCCACCAUCAUACGCUGGCUGAGAUGGGCAUCGCUGCUCCGCCUUUUCAUGUUUUAUGCAUUACGCUGACGGACGGAUGGAUGGACAAUGAAUGCUUUCUCGUCCUUCUUGUCAUGCACCAUGGAAGUGUCUGAGGGGCUUUUCCACUUGGAAUCGGGAUACUGUGUCCACACUUCAGAGGUGGAGUUUCCAGCAUCUCACCUGGGCCUCAUCUGCAAACAAUCAGCAGGAGGGCUUCUUAAACCAGCGCUGCCUGCUACUCCUCGCCAGUUUGUUCUGCCAUCUCCAGUGGUCUCCUCUGCCAACAUACUAAUCCUACCCUCAAACUCCCUUACCCGUCCUGCAACUUCUUCUCCCUCUGUUGCAGAAUUCCCGUUGGAUUGUUCCCAUCAGGAGCCAGGUGUUCAGUCUCUCGAUAGCUUUUCCUCUGGUUCCUGCUCUCUGCUGACACUCCUAGCUCGAGCCACGUUCUCCAUUCCCUCUCUUUAAGCAAAGUCUCAUAAAUAGUUUAACCAUGUGCAUUGAAUCUGCAUUUGGGUCUAAGCUUUCUAUGGAGGGAAGAAAUCAUCACAGUGACAUCUAUUCAAUUUUCAAUUCAAUUUUAUUUAUAGAGCGCCAAAUGACAGCAACAGUCACCUCAAGGCGCUUUAUAUUGUAAGGUAUACUUACAAAGAAAAGCCCAACAAUCAUAUGACCCCCUAUGAGCAAGCACUUUGGCGACAGUGGGAAGGAAAAACUCCCUGCUAAAGCUAUCCACUAAAGAAAGAGAAAUAUAUUUUUGUUUCAUUUUUUAUUUGUCUUCUUCUUCCUUCUGGGAUUUGGAAGCAACAAGUAAAGUAUGCAUAUUAUACACAAAAGCAGACUUAAAUGAUCUGACACAUGCAAAAUGUAGCCAAUUGUUAUCAUUUUAUUAUCAUUUAUUAUCAUCUACCCUGUGUUCUCAAAAGCGAACACAGGGUAGAGAGAUGAUGGAGGAAAUGAAAAAGAAGAGAUUA